UACGUAGGAAGCGAGCGUUGUCCGGAUUUACUGGGCGUAAAGGGCGUGUAGGCGGAGCGGCGCAUCCUGGAGUAAAUCUAUCGGCUCAACUGAUAGGCUUUCUAGGAGAUGGCCGCCCUUGAGGACAGCAGAGGAAAGUGGAAUUCCCGGUGUAGCGGUGAAAUGCGCAGAUAUCAGGAGGAACACCGGUGGCGAAGGCGGGUCUCUGGGCAGUAACUGACGCUGAGGAGCGAAAGCGUGGGGAGCGAACAGG
rnacentral:rRNA from 1 species